ACUCCUACGGGAGGCAGCAGUGGGGAAUAUUGGACAAUGGGGGAACCCGUGAUCCAGCCAUGCCGCGUGUGUGAAGAAGGCCUUAUGGUUGUAAAGCACUUUAAGCGAGGAGGAGGCUACUGAGACUAAUACUCUUGGAUAGUGGACGUUACUCGCAGAAUAAGCACCGGCUAACUCUGUGCCAGCAGCCGCGGUAAUACAGAGGGUGCGAGCGUUAAUCGGAUUUACUGGGCGUAAAGCGUGCGUAGGCGGCUUUUAAGUCGGAUGUGAAAUCCCCGAGCUUAACUUGGGAAUUGCAUUCGAUACUGGGAAGCUAGAGUAUGGAGAGGAUGGUAGAAUUCCAGGUGUAGCGGUGAAAUGCGUAGAGAUCUGGAGGAAUACCGAUGGCGAAGGCAGCCAUCUGGCCUAAUACUGACGCUGAGGUACGAAAGCAUGGGAGCAAACAGGAUUAGAUACCCCGUGGUAGCGACUGA
rnacentral:rRNA from 1 species